GAGCGAAGGAAGCCUGAACUCAUGCAUCAUCCAGUCGGUUUUGAUCCCUCUUGCCGCUCUGCCUUUGUAGAAGACAAGGGACUUCUUCAGGCCUACGCACCUGGUGCCCUCGGAGGAGUAAAUUGGCCUAUCUGUUCCUGUGGCUUUCCAGAACCCAGCUGCUGUGACCCGGUUUGGCCUCGCGCUGUUGUGAUAUUUGCGGUCCCUUGGGCAGUAGAAGUACCACUCUGUCUCACUGCUGGUGCUCGCAAGCUCUGUUGUUGACAAGGAACACAGUCAAGUUGUUAGACUUUGCAGUAAGAUGUCCUGCUGCUUGAUGAGCUCGAUGGAGAUGGGCUUCUGCUGGAUCUUCUUCUUGAGGUAGAAACUAACCAGCUCUUCGUCGGUAGGAUGGAACCGGAACCCAGGCAGGAGGAUCUCAUCUGAUUUGACAUCAUCUCUGCCCUCCAUAUCUCUCACAAAGAAAACUUGCAAAGGCUAGUUGUCCUUGUACUGCUUGUGCAGUGAGCUAGUGAAUGGCUUCUUGGGAUGAAGCUGCUAAGGUGAAGACAAUCACCAAGAGAUGUGCACUGCAGAUGUUGCGAUGCAGUCUACUACGCACACACCAUGUGUAUUUAUAUACAAGGCUUGAGCUAUCUGCAGCGGCUGGAUGAGAUAUAAGUUCUCUGCGAAUUGACUGUAAUGACAGGAAGAUUCACAGUUGUAUGGUCCUACUUUAUUGAUGAAUGCUUGGGAUUUGAGAGGGACUGUUGGGCUAAGAAAGGAUUCCCAAGGUAUGUUGCACUCCCAGUCAUCUGAAGAGUCUGCUCCUAAAUCGAAUGGGAAGUUGAGUCUCCCCGGAGUGUCCCACUCAUUCUUCAUGCGGAAAGUAUCACCAUGCUUCAUUGUGGAUGACUCUUGGUCCCUGCAGCUCAUCUCGUCAUCUAUAUCUUCAGAAGAAGCAGUCACAAAUCCAGUGAUCUGCUCAGGCUGCCCAAACUGCGCCUCGAAGAAGAGCGGUGGUGCAGUGUGCAGCAUGGGCUUCUGUGAUGGCGGCUGUGUUUGGAAUGGCAAGAUGAUGGGGCCUUUCAGGACUUGUGGAGAUGGACUGCAGUUGAAGCUUAUGACCUUGCAUGAAGAGCCACCCUCCUGUGUGCUGUUGGGUUUCUGAAACUGCUGCUGUCCUUGGAAGCCAUAUUUGCUGUCGAACUGACUUGAUGGUGCCGCAGCUGCAACUUGCAAUGAGUUGGAGCAGCUCUCUGAAGGAAAAUGAGAAGCUUGCAUGGCGGAGAAGA